GAAGAAUGAAAAAAGGGCGAAAACGUUCAUCAACUUGCGCCUUCUUCUCAGGUUUUUCAGGUUUUUCAGGUUUUUCAUCUCUUUCCUUUUCCUCAUCAUCAUGUAAACAUUUUUUAGAU
rnacentral:ribozyme from 13 species